rnacentral:lncRNA from 1 species
GGCUGCGGCCUACUCGGGGGCCCGGGCCUGUGAUGGGGCCUGGGCUGAGAAGGAAGAAGAUGAGGAGAAAGAGAAAGCGGAGGAAGAUGAAGAGGAGGAAGCUCAGGAAAAAGACCUUCGACAAACAGCUGCUAAUGGUGAAGCACAGGGAUUCGGAAAGCACUGACUCCAGGCAUUGUGUGCUGCUGUUUACUUGACAAGCCAGUGCAGACACUGCUUCCUCUUCAGCUCUCUUCUGUUUUGCAGUCGGGAACACGCAACACUCUGCCAGGUGACAGUGCUCAGAGUAUGCAGCUAUGUGUACCCUGGGUGCACUUACCUCUAUCUGUGCACACAUCUUUGCUAACACAAAGCGUUCAUUUUCUCUCCUCAGCUUUGCUGCAUUCGCCUUUUCCUCAUCCUGUGUUUAACCUAUCGGGAUGUACAGCUUUUCUCCAGUCUUAAUUCCAAGAGAACAAAGCUCAAAAGUGUCUAAAAUUAGAAGUGUAAGCAAUCGUUGCUACAGAAAUAGGAGAGGAAAUAUCAGAGGAGCAAUGCCUCUCGACUCUGGUAACAAACACCAUGCUCUGGUCCCCUCACGUCAGCAAUAGUAUGGUAUGCUUCUAAAAACAUCACAUUUAAAAUAUAUGAAGUUACCAACAGAUUUAUAGAUUUCUUUUUUCCCAAGCAUGAAUAACUCAGACUAAAGGGCAGCUCUUUAUUUCUGAUCUCAAUUUUCCAAGCCACGUCAAAUGCAAAUGAUUGUUUACGCACCUCCUGGGCCAUCCUAUUGCUGUGCUGCUUUUUGCCUCUGAGAAGUAAUUCAUGUUUUUCUUCACAAGGACCAAAAGAAAACCUGCAAAGGCGGUUGGGGGCCAAAGAGAUGCAUGUGAGGCAGUGUCCCCCCCAGCAGCUGCACAUGACAAUCCUAUUGCACCAUGUUGGAGCGCAUUGCUCGGCUUGCCAGGAAGGGGAGAAGCAAAGAACACUCGGUACUACGUGCGGAGCCACCACAGAUCUGCUCUGCCUCUUACACCAGGCAUUGGCCUGAGGGAUGCAGGCAUUUGGGGAGGAUGCAAAACCUCAUGCAAAGUCUGCCUGAUUGCAUCUGCGCACUGAGUGCAGAUACCUUCGGGAGCGGCUGUUUGUGUUCACUCCAUGUUCUGUGUGCUACAACUGCGGGGCAUUUGGGACCUGUUCUUCCUGACCAUGGGGGCAGGACCUGCCUCCACCCCCAGCAGCUGCUGCAAAUAUAAUGAAGUAGCAACACACAGUAAGGCACAACUCAAGGGAGCAACCUCCCCCAAAAUACAACAACUUCUUACUUAAUUGCUAUUGUCUUCCUAGAUGCAACCAACAGGCACUAAGGAUUCUGGUUUCCUACUUCCCAAAACUUUGUAAUUAGCUUUGGAGUUGGAAGACGACCUACAAAGUGAGUGGGAAUGUGGUUUUAGGGAGGUGGAGAACAGCAGCGCGGAGGGGCCCAGCUGCAGCAUCUGCAUUCUCCCAGGCUCUCCCCCAGGACACGCACGUCCCAGGGUGACGUUUCCGCUGGCAGGGAGCAGCGGUGCCUUUUGGAGGGCAACACAUCAAUAGGAUCGCCCCGAUUCAAAACCAAAUCCAGUGGCAAGCGUUCCUAUCCCACAACACAGCUGCUCCCAUUCAUAAAGCCAGAGGACGGCUGCUGCAAGCGCCGCUAUGGGGCUGGGGCUGACACCGUGCCGAACCGGGCAGUCCCCUCGCGAGCCCACACAAGCAGCUCCUCCACCUCUCUCCUCCGACACCGGCCGAGCCAACCCAUAGCGUGUGCCCGGCGCCUGCGUGUCCCCGCUGUCCCCACGGCCGGGGGGGUGAGGGGGG